CUCCCUCGUGACUGCCUCAUCCCUACGUAUGCUUUGUUUAUACUGAGGGAUGAGGAAAAUGGCGUUGUGGUCGGAUUUUCCAAAAGCUGGAUGUGAAACCGCUUUGUAGCCCUGCCUGUAUGGCGUGUAGCAAUGAUCCAGAAAAAGUAGAGCAAAAGGAAAGAGUAACAAAGGGACAGAGUAACAAAGGGACAGCUUCUGCAUCUUACUGUUGGCAUCUUACACAAUGAAUACAAAAGCACUGGAAAGCAAUGGAAGAUCUGUUUGGAGGAUGGCUGUUGCAUAAAGCAGCAGGUUUGUAAGACCUUGAUUAUUUUCGUGUGUGCUUUUGUAUUCAUUGUGUCACACCCGACUCUCCAGUGUUAAUUUAUUUUGGUUAUAUGCUAGUGACUAUGUCACUAUAAUUACUAGUUGUAAACAUUUGAGAUGGCAGAUUAACAAAUAUUUUUUUUUAUUAAAAAAAUGCUAAUUAUUUUCUCAAUAAAGGUGGUAGCAGUCGACGAAAGCUGGCUGUAAUUCCACCAGAAGCAGAAGGGUAUUCUGUGAAAGCUCUGAAACCUGUGUCAGUAGGUGGCAAAGGCACUAAUUACAUAGUGCCCCUUCAGGAGACAUUGGACACAUCUCCUCUGCCCCCUGACUCACAGCACUUUUCUAAGAUGCCAAAGAAGAUUUUUUUUUUACCAGCGUAGUGAAGAGAUGCCUCUGCAGAUGCUUGCAGUACACAUCAAAACCUGCAAAGGAAAGUAUUUUGAUGAAACUGAUGAGGUGAGAGCAUUUUUUUUGUUUAGUUUUAUGGACUAACAAAACCUACAUUAAUUAUUAAAAUGACUGUUUUUUUAAUCUGCAGGAGUUAUGCAUUGUGGAGAGCAAGUGUAAGGUGGUUUGUCCAAUUUGCAGUAUGGAAUUUCCGGAAGAUGAGAUCACAGUCCAUGCUGGUUUGUGUGGAGAGAGCUUGGAAUGUACAGUGCCUGCAGCAAGUGACAACAGUCAUUGUACACCUGUUCGAACUCCAGUAUGUAAACCAAAAAGGUACAUUUUUUUCAUGUGCUUUCCAUGAUUUCAAAUACAGGACCACUUGUGAAAAUUAUGUGCACCAUCACUUGUGUGAUGUUGCACAGCACAUGCUGCAAUUAUUUCUAAUGACAUUUUAUUUGGUAGUCCUUUUUUGUUAAAUAGGUCCGAAAAGCAUCAAUAUUUAUGAUCUGUCUCUGUUUUUGUGAAUUUAUGACCAAAAAAGUUUUCUAUCCUGUUCCUUAAGCAUGGAAGAUGUAUUGCACUUCCUUAAAGAGCAAGUAGACACCACAACAGAAUUCAAAUUAUGUGUGGACAGAGAAGACCUUCUAGACAGGGCCAUUAUUCAGUGGCAGAGGAAAAAAGCUGCAUCUCCCACUAGUGCUCUCAAGGUGGGGUAUAUAGGCGAGGCAGGUGUGGACACAGGGGCAAUUAGGAAAGAGUUUUUGAGUGGUAAGUUGUCCAUUACCUGUUUUGUCCUGGUGUAAAUGGAUCAUCUAAAACUGGAUAUUGCUUUUGUGCCUAAGACAUGAUUUCAGGUAUCGAAAAGAGAUUUUUUGAAGGACAUGGGAUCCAGGGUAAAAAUCCCAAGUACUCUUUGACGGACCUGGAUAAUGAAAACUUCAGAACUAUCGGUGAAAUAAUUGCGGUCAGCCUUGCCCAAGGUGGCCCAGCUCCUGCGUUUUUGAAAGAGUGGUGCUACACUUUCCUCUGCAGAGGAGAGAUGGACAUAAAUUGUCUGUCUAAGGAGGAUGUGGCUGAUCUUGAAUCUUCCCUACUCAUCAGCAGAAAAAUCCCCUUUCGACCGUUGCCUGACCAUGAGACAAAAGGAGGACUUUUUUGCAGAAGCUCCACAGCUCAUUGUAAGAUCCACAGAUGACACCAUGUAAAAAUUCGUCAAGCCGUUGGUUCAUGGGACAGAAAGAG